CGCUGGAAUUUUCAGUAGGUUAUCUCAAGAGGGUGAAUGUUGUUCUAAAUUCUGAACUUGUACAAUAUAGUUUGUCGCUGCCAAGCUAUAUGCCACCUGAGCUGCAGACUACUCUUAAUUUUGGAUCAACUUCCUGAUAGUUGGGUGUGCUUAUCCAGGAUAUCUCAAAAUCAUCUUGACAUUAGCUACUGGACCCUUCAUUGUUGCCGUAGGAGGAAUAUCAAAUGUAUUUCUCCAUAGGCUGCCACAAAAUAUUCAGGAUGCAUAUGGAGUACGUUCACUUGAUCGUGUCGGCGGAUCCAUCUGCAAUGUUAAGAUUGGCAGGGGUCCUCAAAAUUCAUUUGUCAAUGCACAUAUAUAAUUCACAACUCACUAUGAAAAUUGUAUACAAAUCAGGGAUGUUCAAACAGGUAGUCAUCUGUUACCCUUUUGGACCAUAGUCUGUCUUUUCAGUGUUAGAUAUGAGAAUGGACUUUGUUGGUUAUAAGCUUAUAGAAAAUUGGAUCUACUAAAUACAAAAUCUCAAUAGUUUCCCUGAUUUAUCACGUGGGGGGAAUAGUCUGAGCAAGAUAAAUAAGGUUCGUGCAUCUGUAGUUAAAACUGCAGAUGUAGCUUAACUCAACUGAUAGUGUAAUAUCUCUUCCUAUGAGCAUUUGGCAUUGUUAACUGUGGGUCUUUUCCUUUUUAUAUAGUUAGUGUAUCGUGGAAGAAUUAUUAAAUAAAAUGUUUUUUUGAGCAUUCGGCAUGUUGAACAGUAAAUUAGUUCAGUCUAAGUAUUCCAUGCUUCCUGUUAUUUUACAGAAAAUCUGAUGUAGCAAGUGGGAACUGUGAAGAUUAAUUCUGUUUAUACAAUAGUGUAUCCCAUGCUUCAUGUUAUCGUGUAAGUAUUCCAUUCUUAUUUGACAUUAUAAUCCUAAAGAGGAUGCAUGCUGAUGUUUCUUAUUUGAUAUUCUAAUCCCAAAGCGGGAAAAUCAUUACAUUCACUUUGCAGUUUCAGUAAAAUCCUUUUUGUGUGAACAUGAACAUAUUGCAACUUGGAGACGUGGAAAAUUUUGACAGCUAAUUUACCAAGGUAGUAUGCUAACCUUCAAUAGAACCCUGAUAUCAAAUUGGUACGUCGACAACCUCUACCAAUUGCCACCGUCGUAGAUGUGCAUAGGUCGGUUCUUGGUUGCUGUUUUGACUUGAUCGAUGGAGUGGAGCGAAAUAUGGGAAAGGGGGGAUGGUUAUUUUUCUGUCGGAGGAGUAUAGCCUAUUAUGGGCGAGGGUCCGAAUAUUUGGAAGGUGAUUAUUGUAAUCUUAAUUACCACCAAUCAUGCGACAUAAUCUGGGCACACUUCCUGUGCUUCAUCAUCCCUACUUAUUUUUCAGCGUUUGCUUGUUCUACACCAACUGCUAAGAUUGUCACAUGAUGGGGAAGUUCUUCAAACAAAAUGCUGGUGAUCUGCAUGAGACUAAAAUAGAUACAAUUUGAUACCUUUUUCUGUUGAUCCGCUGUUUCUCUGUUGGGGAAUUCUUCGAACAGCAAGAGGUGUGGUUAUGAUCCCAGGAGUUAUCUGGCAUAACAAUGGUUCAAGCCAUGAAUUAUAGUGCUGCGAUAGCCAUGAAUUAUAGUGCUGCGAUUUGGUUGAUGGAGAUACCUGAAAUGGAUGGGCGGUUUCCUUCCCUGGAGCCCUGACAUAAUGGUGUAAUUUCCCUUUCCUAUAGCCUGCGAUUUGGUUUUCUAGGACGUGAUUGUUUCCUGGGAUUUGUGCCAUAAUUU